UACAGAGGGCGCGAGCGUUGUCCGGAAUCACUGGGCGUAAAGGGCGCGUAGGUGGUGGCUUAAGCGUGCGGUGAAAGCUCGGGGCUCAACUCCGAGUCGGCCGUGCGAACUGGGCUCACUGGAGCAUAGUAGAGGCAGGUGGAAUUCCGGGUGUAGCGGUGGAAUGCGUAGAGAUCCGGAAGAACACCAGUGGCGAAGGCGGCGUCCUGGACCGGUGCUGACGCUGAGGAGCGAAAGCGUGGGGAGCGAUCCGGAUUGAGA
rnacentral:rRNA from 1 species